GGGGGCGACUGGUUUCGACAUGGUAGGUCUGAAGUGAGGAGCAGGUCGUGGUCUCCUCGCCACGUUAAACAGGGGUAACGUCAAGUUUAAUUGGCAAGAACACUUCUUUCGAGCGUAACUACGCUCUCGCUGCUUAAUUUACAAGCGCGCGCCAAUCCCGAGAUUUUUCCCGUUUCGGGUGCGGUGUCAUUUUAGGGAAACGCUCCAAGGCACGUAGCCGGUAUGGCCUUGGCUAAGAUCGAACCGGCUCGGGAUGCAACGCACGUCGACGAGCCGCGCAUCCUUAAACCUGAUCGCCGAAUAAGCUUGUAGAGCCUGACCGAGGGUCUAGUAUGGACCGGAGUUCGAUUCUCCGCGCCUCCACCA
rnacentral:tmRNA from 1 species